ensembl:lncRNA
UGAGACAUUAAAGAUAUCUGGGCAGGGUAUACAGACUGUCGCCACUUUAUUGAUGCGCAAUUUGCCUAAUAGGAUAAUGGAAACACUUGCGCCACAUAAUUUUUACAUCAAAUUUCUAUGCGAACAUUCUAAAUGUCGACAAAAUACAAAUUACUGGACAAGUUCAUGACAACAUAGCUACAGUCAUGUUGGGUCCCAUCUUUGACAUGUUGAAUACAUAAGGACAUGAGUCCUGUCUAUGUCAAAUAUUGUCAUGCCCUGAUCUGUUUCACCCGUUCCUGUGAUUGUCUCCACCUCCUCCAAGUGUCACUUAUUUUCGACAGUGUAUUUAUCCCUGUGUUUCCUGUCUCUCUGUGCCAGUUCGUCUUGUAUGUUUAGUCAAGUCAACCACCGUGGUGUUCCCCGUACUCCCUUUCUAUUCUCUUUUGCUAGUCUUCCCAGUUUUGACCGCUGCCUGACUCUGGACUACUUUCCCGCCUGCCUGAUCAUCCUGCCUGCCCUGACCUUGAAUCUGCCUACCCUUCGGUAUCUAUUGGACUCCGAACUGGUUUUGACCUUUGCGUUGUAAGCUAAUGUUUUAGGAGAGCAGGCUAGCUCCCUGCAGAAUCUAGACAAUAGAGAAUGGGGAAUGAGAUAUGGCUAUUGCAGUGCCCAGAUGAGGUGAGAGCAAACUGCUACAGAGAUAAAAAGCCACAACAUGAUCAUGUAGUCAAGCAUCUGAAGACUAGCGAGGAGGAGAAACGCCUGCUUUGGAUGAGCAAGGAAGAACUAACAACUAGCUGUACCAGAUAAACAUGUUCAAGCUAGAAUCUCCAAAUGCUAUGUUGAAAGAGCACCACGGAUGAAGGAGGCGGAGGAAAACAGACAGCUUCUAUCUACCAUACCUUCACCAAGUCAUGCAAUGUUUGCUUCAUGAACAAUUGUUACAUCUGAAAUAAAUACAGAAUUAUUUUAGUUUAUUCUGUUUAAUGUUUUUUAUGCUGGAUGUGGGUAAUUUAGCAGGUCUAUUGUAUAAUGUAUUGUUUUGAAAUGUUUAACUGUUUAUUAACUAUCUAUUCAGUCAAAACUCACAUUAUUUUAGCAAACAUAAAAUAAGUAUGUUUGUACUGUUACUUUUUACAUGCUGAAACAGUCAUUAGUUUUGAGCUAGACUAUGAUCAGGGAAAUGUCUACUACCCUUAAUGUUGCUGAUGAAUGAAAUUAGCACCGUUUCUAAUAGUUUGUUGCUACUGUCUGAGGAAGUGAGCAAUAUGAAAUACAUUGGAGGAAGGGAGAAUGAAUGUGAAAUCAGAACUUGGACAAUGUCAGGGAAUUAAGUAGGUAAAUGUACAGCCUGCAGUAUCAAUGACAAAAGAAACUGUGCAGAGGUAGCCUUAAGAUAACAUUAGAUAUGUGCAUGUUACGUACUGGACAGACGGCUAGCCAAAUAUUUUCAAAACAUUGGAUUACCAACUUCAGCGGUGGCAUCUCAAUUUACACCACAUGUUCACAUGGACGUACAUUCAAUACUGAACAAAAAUAUAAAUGCAGC